AAUAUUUGUAUCACAUAAACUUAAAUAAGGUAUAGGCCUGUCACAAUAACAAAUUUUGCAAGACUAUAAAUUGUCCCAGAAAUUAUUGCGAUAAACAAUAAUAUUGUCGUUCUGAGACCAUUUGCAUCUCAGAUAAUGGCAUAAUAAAGCAUGUACACCUUGUC